AUUGAACGCUGGCGGCAGGCUUAACACAUGCAAGUCGCACGAAUGGCGGACGGGUGAGUAAUGCUUGGGAAUCUAGCUUAUGGCGGGGGAUCACUACGGGAAACUGUAGCUAAUACCGCGUACCAUAGGAUGAGCCCACGUGGGAUUAGGUAGUUGGUGAGGUAAAGGCUCACCAAGCCGACGAGCUCUAGCUGGUCUGAGAGGAUGACCAGCCACACUGGUACUGAGACACGGCCCAGACUCCUACGGGAGGCAGCAGUGGGGAAUAUUGCGAAAUGGGGGAAACCCUGACGCAGCCAUGCCGCGUGAAUGAAGAAGGCCUUAGGGUUGUAAAGUACUUUCAGCGGGGAUGCGUUACCCGCAGAAGAAGCACCGGCUAACUCCGUGCCAGCCGCCGCGGUAAUUC
rnacentral:rRNA from 1 species